rnacentral:rRNA from 1 species
GAUGAACGCUAGCGGCAGGCUUAACACAUGCAAGUCGAGGGGUAGAGGAAGCUUGCUUCCUUGAGACCGGCGCACGGGUGCGUAACGCGUAUACAAUCUACCUUUUACAGAGGGAUAGCCCCAGAGAAAUUUGGAUUAAUACCUCAUAGUAUUUUCGGAUCGCAUGAUUUGAUUAUUAAAGUUCCAACGGUAAAAGAUGAGUAUGCGUCCCAUUAGCUAGAUGGUAAGGUAACGGCUUACCAUGGCAAUGAUGGGUAGGGGUCCUGAGAGGGAGAUCCCCCACACUGGUACUGAGACACGGACCAGACUCCUACGGGAGGCAGCAGUGAGGAAUAUUGGACAAUGGGCGCAAGCCUGAUCCAGCCAUGCCGCGUGCAGGAAUAAGGUCCUAUGGAUUGUAAACUGCUUUUAUACAGGAAGAAACACACCCUCGUGAGGGUACUUGACGGUACUGUAUGAAUAAGGACCGGCUAACUCCGUGCCAGCAGCCGCGGUAA